AGUGAACGCUGGCGGUAGGCCUAACACAUGCAAGUCGAACAGCAGCACAGUAAGAGCUUGCUCUUACGGGUGGCGAGUGGCGGACGGGUGAGGAAUACAUCGGAAUCUACUUUUUCGUGGGGGAUAACGUAGGGAAACUUACGCUAAUACCGCAUACGACCUACGGGUGAAAGCAGGGGAUCUUCGGACCUUGCGCGAUUGAAUGAGCCGAUGUCGGAUUAGCUAGUUGGCGGGGUAAAGGCCCACCAAGGCGACGAUCCGUAGCUGGUCUGAGAGGAUGAUCAGCCACACUGGAACUGAGACACGGUCCAGACUCCUACGGGAGGCAGCAGUGGGGAAUAUUGGACAAUGGGCGCAAGCCUGAUCCAGCCAUACCGCGUGGGUGAAGAAGGCCUUCGGGUUGUAAAGCCCUUUUGUUGGGAAAGAAAAGCAGUAGGUUAAUACCCCGCUGUUCUGACGGUACCCAAAGAAUAAGCACCGGCUAACUUCGUG
rnacentral:rRNA from 1 species